GCUCAGAGCGAACGUUAGCGGCGCGCCUAACACAUGCAAGUCGAGCGAGAAAGGGAGCAAUCCUGAGUAGAGCGGCGCACGGGUGCGUAACACGUAGAUAAUCUGCCCUUUGGCGGGGGAUAACGUUCCGAAAGGAGCGCUAAUACCGCAUACAGCAAUCUGGGGUUCGCCUCGGGUUGGCAAAGGUUGGGACCCGCAAGGGCCAAUCGCCAAAGGAGGAGUCUGCGGCCCAUCAGCUAGUUGGUAAGGUAAUGGCUUACCAAGGCAAAGACGGGUAGCUGGUCUGAGAGGAUGAUCAGCCACACUGGUACUGGAACACGGACCAGACUCCUACGGGAGGCAGCAGUGGGGAAUCUUGGUCAAUGGGCGCAAGCCUGAACCAGCGACGCCGCGUGAGUGAUGAAGGCCUUCGGGUUGUAAAGCUCUGUGGGGAGGGACGAAAGAGGAUUGUCUAAUAGACAGUUCAGUUGACGGUACCUCCUUAGCAAGCACCGGCUAACUCUGUGCCAGCAGCCGCGGUAAGACAGAGGGUGCAAACGUUGCUCGGAAUUACUGGGCGUAAAGCGCGUGUAGGCGGGCUUGCAAGUCAGAUGUGAAAUCCCCGGGCUCAACCCGGGAACUGCAUUUGAAACUGCAAGCCUUGAGUAUCGGAGAGGAAAGCGGAAUUCCUGGUGUAGAGGUGAAAUUCGUAGAUAUCAGGAGGAACACCGGUGGCGAAGGCGGCUUUCUGGACGAUAACUGACGCUGAGACGCGAAAGCGUGGGGAGCAAACAGGAUUAGAUACCCUGGUAGUCCACGCUGUAAACGAUGAACACUAGGUGUCGUGGGUAUUGACCCCCGCGGUGCCGUAGCUAACGCAUUAAGUGUUCCGCCUGGGAAGUACGGUCGCAAGACUAAAACUCAAAG
rnacentral:rRNA from 1 species